GCAGUCGAGCGGACAGAAGGGAGCUUGCUCCCGGAUGUUAGCGGCGGACGGGUGAGUAACACGUGGGUAACCUGCCUGUAAGACUGGGAUAACUCCGGGAAACCGGAGCUAAUACCGGAUAGUUCCUUGAACCGCAUGGUUCAAGGAUGAAAGACGGUUUCGGCUGUCACUUACAGAUGGACCCGCGGCGCAUUAGCUAGUUGGUGAGGUAACGGCUCACCAAGGCGACGAUGCGUAGCCGACCUGAGAGGGUGAUCGGCCACACUGGGACUGAGACACGGCCCAGACUCCUACGGGAGGCAGCAGUAGGGAAUCUUCCGCAAUGGACGAAAGUCUGACGGAGCAACGCCGCGUGAGUGAUGAAGGUUUUCGGAUCGUAAAGCUCUGUUGUUAGGGAAGAACAAGUGCAAGAGUAACUGCUUGCACCUUGACGGUACCUAACCAGAAAGCCACGGCUAACUACGUGCCAGCAGCCGCGGUAAUACGUAGGUGGCAAGCGUUGUCCGGAAUUAUUGGGCGUAAAGGGCUCGCAGGCGGUUUCUUAAGUCUGAUGUGAAAGCCCCCGGCUCAACCGGGGAGGGUCAUUGGAAACUGGGAAACUUGAGUGCAGAAGAGGAGAGUGGAAUUCCACGUGUAGCGGUGAAAUGCGUAGAGAUGUGGAGGAACACCAGUGGCGAAGGCGACUCUCUGGUCUGUAACUGACGCUGAGGAGCGAAAGCGUGGGGAGCGAACAGGAUUAGAUACCCUGGUAGUCCACGCCGUAAACGAUGAGUGCUAAGUGUUAGGGGGUUUCCGCCCCUUAGUGCUGCAGCUAACGCAUUAAGCACUCCGCCUGGGGAGUACGGUCGCAAGACUGAAACUCAAAGGAAUUGACGGGGG
rnacentral:rRNA from 1 species